rnacentral:rRNA from 1 species
UACAGAGGUCUCAAGCGUUGUUCGGAAUUACUGGGCGUAAAGGGCUCGUAGGCGGCCAACUAAGUCGGAUGUGAAAUCCCCAGGCUUAACCUGGGAACUGCAUCCGAUACUGGAUGGCUUGAAUCCGGGAGAGGGAUGCGGAAUUCCAGGUGUAGCGGUGAAAUGCGUAGAUAUCUGGAGGAACACCGGUGGCGAAGGCGGCAUCCUGGACCGGCAUUGACGCUGAGGAGCGAAAGCCAGGGGAGCAAACGGG